UCCAAACAUGUAUUCCAAGCAUUAUACGAAUACAAUGUUAAAUGCCUUUUAAAAGAUUGUAAAACCAAAGUUUAUGAUCGAACAUUGUUAUUAUUGCGAGGUAUGCAAUAUUUUAUACGAUUUUUUGUAUCUUUUUGUAAUUUCAGUGAUUCCCAAACGUUUGUAUUUGCGGCAAUUUCUUUUGAAUUAAAACAUAAACAUAACAUAGAAUCUGCAAUAAAAAUCCACCUCAGGUAUCCCUUGAUAUCAAACUGCUAUUUAUAAAAUAGAGAAAUCUAAGAUUUUCAUCUUAAUAGUAUCCAUGAAUUUAGCAAUACCUUUAUCUUCUCCAAUACAAGAUCAUAACACUCAAAAAGUUUUAAUUAGACAAAAACGAGGUUGUUUUCCACAUCUACUUUCUAAUGACAAUAUUCGCUACCCUAUGCAAGGACAUAAAAAUAAUUAAACAGAAAUAAGUUAUUUGUUACAUGUUUAAAUAAAAUGUUUUUUUGUUUAGAA